rnacentral:tRNA from 1 species
ACCGAAAUAGCUCAGUUGGGAGAGCGUUAGACUAUAGAUCGAAAAGUCCCUGGUUCGAUCCCGGGUUCCGGCA